GACGGGCCGGGAGCGACCGGGAUAUGGAAAGUCUAGAUCGGGAAUUGAUGGGCCGUGCGUCCGUAGGACCAAAAAUCCAUCAUAUAUCAAAUAAAUGGAAACUGGCGCGUAUGGGCCGGGUUUAUCGCGGAGACGAGUAGCAACAUGGAAACUGUAGAUUUACUAUAUAAAAAAAAAACAAGGAAAGAGUCGCUGUCUCUUACAGCUAUCUUAGCACACGGAAAUCGUAAGUAGGUAGGACCACACGGCCUAAGAAAUAUCCACGCAGCCGUGAGGAUGUUUUUUUUGUUUUGGGGGCGAAGAGAAGUUGGCACUUGUAAUUUGAGUGGUUUUACAAAAAAAAGACAUGCACGGUGAUUAAGCUACAAUUUGCAUUCCCGUAUGAAACUCGUAUUUAGUAGAGUUGGUAUUUGCAUUGUUAUUAGGGUCAUUUAUACUCGAGAUUUUCCCCUAUGCUCCUGCG
rnacentral:lncRNA from 1 species